GACAUAGUUCUGUUCUAUACUAAAUGUUAGAGAGAAGGGACAUAGUUCUGUUCUAUACUAAAUGUUAGAGAGAAGGGUGUACAUGGGACAUAGUUCUGUUCUAUACUAAAUGUUAGAGAGAAGGGACAUAGUUCUGUUCUAUACUAAAUGUUAGAGAGAAGGGUGUACAUGGGACAUAGUUCUGUUCUAUACUAAAUGUUAGAGAGAAGGAUCAUAGUUCUGUUCUAUACUAAAUGAUAGAGAGAAGGGUGUACAUGGGACAUAGUUCUGUUCUAUACUAAAUGUUAGAGAGAGGGACAUAGUUCUGUUCUAUACUGAAUGUUAGAGAGAAGGGUGUACAUGGGACAUAGUUCUGUUCUAUACUGAAUGUUAGAGAGAAGGGUGUACAUGGGACAUAGUUCUGUUCUAUACUAAAUGUUAGAGAGAGGGACAUAGUUCUGUUCUAUACUGAAUGUUAGAGAGAAGGGUGUACAUGGGACAUAGUUCUGUUCUAUACUAAAUGUUAGAGAGGAGGGACAUAGUUCUGUUCUAUACUGAAUGUUAGAGAGAAGGGUGUACAUGGGACAUAGUUCUGUUCUAUACUAAAUGUUAGAGAGAAGGGUGUACAUGGGACAUAGUUCAGUUCUAUACUGAAUGUUAGAGAGAAGGGUGUACAUGGGACAUAGUUCUGUUCUAUACUAAAUGUUAGAGAGGAGGGACAUAGUUCUGUUCUAUACUGAAUGUUAGAGAGAAGGGUGUACAUGGGACAUAGUUCUGUUCUAUACUAAAUGUUAGAGAGGAGGGACAUAGUUCUGUUCUAUACUGAAUGUUAGAGAGAAGGGUGUACAUGGGACACAUUUCUGUUCUAUACUAAAUGUUAGAGAGGAGGGACAUAGUUCUGUUCUAUACUGAAUGUUAGAGAGAAGGGUGUACAUGGGACACAUUUAUGUUCUAUACUAAAUGUUAGAGAGAAGGGUGUACAUGGGACAUAGUUCUGUUCUAUACUAAAUGUUAGAGAGAAGGGUGUACAUGGGACAUAGUUCUGUUCUAUACUAAAUGUUAGAGAGAAGGGUGUACAUGGGACAUAGUUCUGUUCUAUACUAAAUGUUAGAGAGGAGGGACAUAGUUCUGUUCUAUACUAAAUGUUAGAGAGAAGGGUGUACAUGGGACAUAGUUCUGUUCUAUACUAAAUGUUAGAGAGAAGGGUGUACAUGGGACAUAGUUCUGUUCUAUACUAAAUGUUAGAGAGAAGGGACAUAGUUCUGUUCUAUACUAAAUGUUAGAGAGAAGGGACAUAGUUCUGUUCUAUACUAAAUGUUAGAGAGAAGGGACAUAGUUCUGUUCUAUAAAAAAUGUUAGAGAGAAGGGACAUAGUUCUGUUCUAUACUAAAUGUUAGAGAGAAGGGACAUAGUUCUGUUCUAUACUAAAUGUUAGAGAGAAGGGUGUACAUGGGACAUAGUUCUGUUCUAUACUAAAUGUUAGAGAGAAGGGACAUAGUUCUGUUCUAUACUAAAUGUUAGAGAGAAGGGUGUACAUGGGACAUAGUUCUGUUCUAUACUAAAUGUUAGAGAGAAGGGACAUAGUUCUGUUCUAUACUAAAUGUUAGAGAGAAGGGUGUACAUGGGACAUAGUUCUGUUCUAUACUAAAUGUUAGAGACAGGGACAUAGUUCUGUUCUAUACUGAAUGUUAGAGAGAAGGGUGUACAUGGGACAUAGUUCUGUUCUAUACUAAAUGUUAGAGAGAGGGACAUAGUUCUGUUCUAUACUAAAUGUUAGAGAGAAGGGUGUACAUGGGACACAUUUCUGUUCUAUACUAAAUGUUAGAGAGAAGGGUGUACAUGGGACAUAGUUCUGUUCUAUACUAAAUGUUAGAGAGAAGGGUGUACAUGGGACAUAGUUCUGUUCUAUACUAAAUGUUAGAGAGAAGGGUGUACAUGGGACAUAGUUCUGUUCUAUACUAAAUGUUAGAGAGGAGGGACAUAGUUCUGUUCUAUACUAAAUGUUAGAGAGAAGGGUGUACAUGGGACAUAGUUCUGUUCUAUACUAAAUGUUAGAGAGAAGGGUGUACAUGGGACAUAGUUCUGUUCUAUACUAAAUGUUAGAGAGAAGGGACAUAGUUAUGUUCUAUACUAAAUGUUAGAGAGAAGGGACAUAGUUCUGUUCUAUACUAAAUGUUAGAGAGAAGGGACAUAGUUCUGUUCUAUAAAAAAUGUUAGAGAGAAGGGACAUAGUUCUGUUCUAUACUAAAUGUUAGAGAGAAGGGACAUAGUUCUGUUCUAUACUAAAUGUUAGAGAGAAGGGUGUACAUGGGACAUAGUUCUGUUCUAUACUAAAUGUUAGAGAGAAGGGACAUAGUUCUGUUCUAUACUAAAUGUUAGAGAGAAGGGUGUACAUGGGACAUAGUUCUGUUCUAUACUAAAUGUUAGAGAGAAGGGACAUAGUUCUGUUCUAUACUAAAUGUUAGAGAGAAGGGUGUACAUGGGACAUAGUUCUGUUCUAUACUAAAUGUUAGAGACAGGGACAUAGUUCUGUUCUAUACUGAAUGUUAGAGAGAAGGGUGUACAUGGGACAUAGUUCUGUUCUAUACUAAAUGUUAGAGAGAGGGACAUAGUUCUGUUCUAUACUAAAUGUUAGAGAGAAGGGUGUACAUGGGACAUAGUUCUGUUCUAUACUAAAUGUUAGAGAGAAGGGACAUAGUUCUGUUCUAUACUAAAUGUUAGAGAGAAGGGACAUAGUUCUGUUCUAUACUAAAUGUUAGAGAGAAGGGACAUAGUUCUGUUCUAUACUAAAUGUUAGAGAGAAGGGACAUAGUUCUGUUCUAUACUAAAUGUUAGAGAGAAGGGUGUACAUGGGACAUAGUUCUGUUCUAUACUAAAUGUUAGAGAGAAGGGUGUACAUG
ensembl:lncRNA